rnacentral:tRNA from 1 species
GGAGAGGUCGCGUAGUCUGGCUUAGCGCGCUCGCUUGGAAAGCGUGUAACCUGCAAGGGUUCGCGGGUUCAAAUCCCGCCCUCUCCGCCA